CAACAAUUGCGCGCCGAGUGUUUCGGUUAUUUCACGUCGUGAUAAAAUCUUAAUAUAAUAUGAUAUUUAUCCGUAUAUUAUACGUUGAAUCGUUACAAAUGUUUAGAUGUAACGUUAAUGCAAUCGUGUGUUUUGUUAAAAGUCAACAUGAACUCAAAAAUCUUCGAAUUUUUGAGUGUUACUUUUCUGAGGGGAAUCUGACAACGCUUGGAAGUCAACAAAACAAAGGGCGAGAGCUGUCGUAGGAUGCCUUUGAAACGGAUCCGAAUAAAUGUGAAGGAACGGAAACAAGUACAUCUUUGAAAAGUAAUGCUUCUCUGAAACAUCAUAAAGUCAGUCUCUCUGGCAUCAUUAGUGGCUCAGGCGCCCUCUGCCCGUCUCCUGGCUGAUCUGUGUGUUAAUUAUGUAUCUCAGCGUGAUGAGGACCCGGGGUUGCUGCAGCUGUAAUGAAGGCGAGGAUAUCGACACCUUUAUGUGGAAGGUGUGUGUGUGAGUGAGAGAGAGUGAUGAGUCGAUGUGGCUUGUGUGAUACAUUAAAAUGCAACGUGUGACAAAU
rnacentral:lncRNA from 1 species